GACGAACGCUGGCGGCGUGCCUAAUACAUGCAAGUAGAACGCACAGUUUAUACCGUAGCUUGCUACACCAUAGACUGUGAGUUGCGAACGGGUGAGUAACGCGUAGGUAACCUGCCUGGUAGCGGGGGAUAACUAUUGGAAACGAUAGCUAAUACCGCAUAAUAUUAAUUAUUGCAUGAUAAUUGAUUGAAAGAUGCAACUGCAUCACUACCAGAUGGACCUGCGUUGUAUUAGCUAGUAGGUGAGGUAACGGCUCACCUAGGCGACGAUACAUAGCCGACCUGAGAGGGUGGUCGGCCACACUGGGACUGGGACACGGCCCAGACCUCCACGGGGGGGAGCAGUAGGGAAACUUCGGCAAUGGGCGAAAGUCUGACCGAGCAACGCCGCGUGAGGGAAGAAGGUUUUCGGAUCGUAAAGCUCUGUUGUAAGGGAAGAACGGGUGUGAGAGUGGAAAGUUCACACUGUGACGGUAUCUUAACAGAAAGGGACGGCUAACUACGUG
rnacentral:rRNA from 1 species